ACAAGUAGAUGGAUGAUAAUACUAAUUCGGAAGGUGUCCGGUCAAGUAAUGAAGCUAAAAGAUCGAAGCAAACCUCCAGAGAAGAUGAACACACAAGCACCUGUGAUGGCGGCUCUUCAAGAGCGGCAGUGCCAAUGAAUUUGGAAGGAUGUUCAGUAUGUGCCCCCCAUCAACAACUGCUGUUAUUUUUGUUUUUGUUUUUUCAUGCCGCUACAUAUGGCCUUAGGAGACCUUAGCAAUAAAUUUAUAACAAGGUUUAUAUCAGAGACCUUAGCAGUAAAGUUUUUUUAUGUGUUAGUUAAUUUUUUAUAUGGAUAUGUUCUGUAUCUGGCGGCCAUCUUUUUUUUUGGUUGAUAACUUUUGACCAAUUUUUUUCACCUUUUAUAUCAUCACAAAAAGCUUUUUCAUCUACCAAAAUUCCCCCUGUAAAAAGUUUUCAUGUAAAAGUUAUACGGUACUAUGUUAUCACUUCGACAAUGACAAAAUUUUUUGCUUCUGUUCACACAAACUUUUAUACCAUCGAUGUUCAACUUUUGUAUUUGGUAAUUUUUUCACCAAAAAGUUUCUCCACUAAACUUUUUCUCACACCUUCAACAUAAUUUAUUUCUUUGCAACAAAAUUUUGUCUCUCGUGUCAGUUAAUUUUUUUAUGGACAAGUUCUGUAUGCAAGGGCAGAAGUUUUCUUAGCAUUUUCAGCACCAUAGAAGUGUCUCAAAAGUUUUGCAGCUAUAAUUUUUUUCUAUGAACAAGUUCUUUCUGAUGAGUAUAGUUCAAUGGACAUUUUUCUUUCUACUCAUUUUUUUUAUGCACCAAAAUUUAAAUCUACUAGUAUCAUGACAAAGCAAUUGCAUAUUAUUCUGAGGCUCAUUCCAACAAAAACCAUAUUUAGGUUUUUUUUGCAUAUUACUUAAAUUUAUUUUUUUUCUCCUAUAUAAUUGAAUUCAUUUUUUUGUUUCUCAAAAUACAACCCAGCUCUGACAAUAUUACUUAAAUUUUAUUUUUUUCCCUAUAUAAUUGAAUUGAAUUCAUUUUUUCUCCUAUAUAAGUUUUUUUAUUCAAAAAAUUUAUGAUAAAUAUUUUUUCUCUUAAAUUUUUUCAUUCCAAAAUUUUAUGAAAAAUAUUUUAUUCUUUUCUCAGAAGCAUUUUUUCAGUAGUGACCAUGAUAAAUAUUUUUAUUAUCUUAAACUUUAUGCAAGUUUGAAAAUAUUUUUUUCCUAUUCUUUUUCUUCUGAGUUUUUGUUUGCGGAUAGAACUUAUUAUGAUAAAUAUUUUUACUAUGCAUAAUCUUUUCAUUUUGAAAUCUUUUUUCUGCCUCAUAAAGUUUUCUGAUACAUUUUUUUAUUCUCAGCUUAACAUAAAAUUCUUUUUGCCUAUAUUUAUCAUUUGCAGAAAUUUAGCUACAAUUCUCACUUGCGAAGAUGACUAGACUUGUUGGUAGACUGUCAAAAGUUCAGAAAGAGAUUGUUACAUCCUGUGGAUUUGAGUCAUUACUUGCUCUUAGCUGCUCAUCCAUCCCAAACAAUCUAGUAAUUUGGCUGGCAAAACAUUAUGAUUCCAGAUCCAAGUCUGUAAAGCUUCCAGGUGGCAUACUCGUUCCAACUGAUUAGGGUCUGUCACGUCAACCUGCCAUACUCGGCCCAACUGAUUAGGGCCAGUCACGUCAUCCUGCCAUACUCAGCCCAACUGAUUAGGGCCAAUCACAUCAUCCUACCAUACUCGGCCCAACCAGUUAGGGUUUUUAGGGUUCGACUUCAUUACCAUAUGUCUUGAUUUUUAGUAUAUUUGAAGGUUGACUUGCCAUAAUUGGCUCAACUGAUUAGGGUCAGUAACGUCCACCUACCAUACUCGGCCCAAUUGAUUAGGGUUAGUCAUGUCAUCCUGUCAUACUCGGCCCAACUGAUUAGGGCCAAUCACAUUAUCCUACUAUACUCAGCCCAACGAGUUAGGGUUGUCUGGGUUUUAGUGUUCGACUCAAUCAUCAUAUCCUGUCAUACUUGGGUUUUAGUAUUGACUUGCCAUACUUGUCCCAACUGAUUAGGGCCAAUCACGUUCUCCGGCCAUACACGGCGCAACUGAUUAGGGCCAAUCAUUAUCAACCAGCCAUACUCAUUCCAACUGAUUAGGGUCCGUCACGUCAACCUGCCCUACUCGGCCCAACUGAUUAGGGCCAGUCACAUCAACCUGCCAUACUCAGCCCAACUGAUUAGGGCCAAUCACGUCAUCCUACCAUACUCGGCCCAACUAGUUAGGGUUGUUUGGGUUUUUAGGGUUCGACUUCGUCACCAUAUGUCUUGAUUUUAGUAUAUAUAAAGGUUGACUUGCCAUAAUUGGCUCAACUGAUUAGGGUCAGUAACGUCCACCUACCAUACUCGGCCCAAUUGAUUAGGGUCAGUCACGUCAUCCUGUCAUACUCGGCCCAACUGAUUAGGGCCAAUCACAUUAUCAUACUAUACUCAGCCCAACGAGUUAGGGUUGUCUGGGUUUUAGUGUUCGACUCAGUCACCAUAUCCUGUCAUACUUGGGUUUUAGUGUUGACUUGCCAUACGUGUCCCAACUGAUUAGGGCCAAUCACGUUCUCCGGCCAUACAUGGCCUAACUGAUUAGGGCCAAUCAUUAUCAACCAGCCAUACUCGGUCCAACUGAUUAGGGUCCGUCACGUCAACCUGUCAUACUCGGCCCAACUGAUUAGGGCCAGUCACGUCAUCCUGCUAUGCUCGGCCCAACUGAUUAGGGCCAAUCACGUCAUCCUACCAUACUCGGCCCAACCAGUUAGGGUUGUCUGGGUUUUAAGGUUUGACUUCGUCACCAUAUGCUUUGUAGUUUUGUCAAGUGUUCAACUAGCUCGAGCUAUCAGGUGAUUUAUUGUAGUUUCGUUUAUGACUUUGUCUGCAUACAGCAAGGCUAGUUCAUGUGGGGGUUUUACA